GCGAAAGUAGCUUAAGGGUAGAGCAUAACUUUGCCAUAGUUAAGGUUAAGGGUUCAAAUCCCUUUUUUCGCU
rnacentral:tRNA from 1 species